AGUGAACGCUGGCGGUAGGCCUAACACAUGCAAGUCGAACGGCAGCACAGUAAGAGCUUGCUCUUACGGGUGGCGAGUGGCGGACGGGUGAGGAAUACAUCGGAAUCUACUUUUUCGUGGGGGAUAACGUAGGGAAACUUACGCUAAUACCGCAUACGACCUACGGGUGAAAGCAGGGGAUCUUCGGACCUUGCGCGACUGAAUGAGCCGAUGUCGGAUUAGCUAGUUGGCGGGGUAAAGGCCCACCAAGGCGACGAUCCGUAGCUGGUCUGAGGGGAUGAUCAGCCACACUGGAACUGAGACACGGUCCAGACUCCUACGGGAGGCAGCAGUGGGGAAUAUUGGACAAUGGGCGCAAGCCUGAUCCAGCCAUACCGCGUGGGUGAAGAAGGCCUUCGGGUUGUAAAGCCCUUUUGUUGGGAAAGAAAAGCAGCAGGUUAAUACCCCGCUGUUCUGACGGUACCCAAAGAAUAAGCACCGGCUAACUUCGU
rnacentral:rRNA from 1 species